ACCCGAGGGGCAGCUCAGUCAGCAGAGCACGAGACUCUAAGUCUCAGGGUUGUGGGUUCGAGCCCCAUAUUGGGAA